rnacentral:lncRNA from 1 species
UGUGAAGUCAAAACAUAUACAGUGGUGCCCCGCAAGACGAACGCCUCGCAAAACGAAAAACUCGCAAGACGAAAGGUUUUUUCGUUUUCGAGUUGCUUCGCAAGACGAAUGUCCCUAUGGGCUUGCUUCGCAAGACGAAAACGUCUUGCAAGUUUGUUUCCUUUUUCGUAAAACCGUUAAAACCCAGGGUGCAUUGCUUGAAGAGGUGCAGUUGCGACUUGACCUCGAGGAGCAACACAUUGCACGCGGUGUGGUGGCCUUUCUGAGCUUUUUAAAGAGUUUGCUGGAUUUUUGAAGCUUUUCCAAAACUUCUUCUACAGCUGUUUGGUAAGUUGAACUUUUAAAACUUGUUUGGGGUUUUUGGGAUUUUGGGUUGGGGUGUUUAGAAUUCAAGGACUUGGUGUUGGGGAGAGGUUUGCAAGAAUCUGGGAGCUUGUGUGGUUUUUUUCUGCAUUUUUAUGAUUUUCUGUGACCAUUGGGCCAUGUUUAUUUUUUUUAAAAAAAAAAUCUGGCUUUGAAUUUUUGAAUUUCUGUGUGCUGGGUGGAUGGGGGAACAGCUGGGGAGGUGUUUGCAAGAAUCUGGGAGCUUGUGUGCUUUUUUUUGAAUUUUUAUGAUUUUUUGUGACCAUUGGGCCAUGUUGGUUUUUUUUGAAAAAAGUUUCUGGGUUUUAAAUUUCUGUGUGCUGGGUGGAUGGGGGAACAGCUGGGGAGGUGUUUGCAAGAAUCUGGGAGCUUGUGUGCUUUUUUUUGAAUUUUUAUGAUUUUUUGUGACCAUUGGGCCAUGUUGUUUUUUUUCAAAAAGUUUCUGGGUUUUAAAUUUCUGUGUGCUGGGUGGAUGGGGGAACAGCUGGGGAGGGGUUUGCAAGAAUCUGGGAGCUUGUGUGCUUUUUUUUGAAUUUUUAUGAUAUUUUGUGACCAUUGGGCCAUGUUGUUGUUUUUUUGAAAAAAAUUUCUGGGUUUUAAAUUUCUGUGUGCUGGGUGGAUGGGGAACAGCUGGGGAGGGGUUUGCAAGAAUCUGGGAGCUUGUGUGCUUUUUUUUGAAUUUUUAUGGUUUUCUGUAACCAUUGGGCCAUGUUGUUG